rnacentral:rRNA from 1 species
GACGUAGGAGGCGAGCGUUGUCCGGAAUUAUUGGGCGUAAAGAGCUCGUAGGCGGUGUGUCACGUCGUUCGUGAAAACCUGCAGCUUAACUGUGGGCGUGCGGUCGAUACGGGCAUCACUGGAGUUCGGCAGGGGAGACUGGAAUUCCUGGUGUAGCGGUGAAAUGCGCAGAUAUCAGGAAGAACACCAACGGCGAAGGCAGCUCGCUGGGACGGUACUGACGCUGAGACGCGAAAGCGUGGGGAGCGAACAGG